UUUUUUUUGUUAAAUAUAUAGUACUCGAAGGAAUAGAGUCAAAAGAGUUAGAGAAGGGCUGGAAAAUUCUCUCAAGGGACGGAUUGAGCUGAUUGAAAGCUAUGCAAGAAUAUCGUCAAUGAUCGAAAUUGAGGUAGAAAUGGACUCCGAUGUUCUUGCUGCCGAAGCAGCAAGCAAUGCGGAGAGUAUUGCCGAACAAAUACAACAGAUAAUGGAGCUAGAGAAUCUUGAAGAGGCAUG